rnacentral:lncRNA from 1 species
AGUGUGAGGGAAGGGACAAUAUUGGGAGAACGACGAUAUGGGCGCCAGGAGGCACUAUGGAGACCGAGGAGACUCUUUGCUGGCAUGUAGUUCAGAAGACAAACUGGUUAAUCUGUUAUAGAAUGUUGAAAGAAUGACUAGCCCUUGGCCUACAUAAAGGUAAAUUUUCACUCUGCCAGGU